rnacentral:tRNA from 1 species
GGGGCCUUAGCUCAGCUGGGAGAGCGAUCGCUUUGCAAGCGAUAGGUCACCGGUUCGAUCCCGGUAGGCUCCA